GGAGCGCGGCUAUCUGCAGUCGAGCGCGGAAAUCGACGGAACCCUUCGGGGGGAAGUCGACGGAAUGAGCGGCGGACGGGUGAGUAACACGUAAAGAACCUGCCCUCAGGUCUGGGAUAACCACGAGAAAUCGGGGCUAAUACCGGAUGGGUCAUCGGACCGCAUGGUCCGAGGAUGAAAGGCGCUUCUGCGUCGCCUGGGGAUGGCUUUGCGGUGCAUUAGCUAGUUGGUGGGGUAAUGGCCCACCAAGGCGACGAUGCAUAGCCGACCUGAGAGGGUGAUCGGCCACACUGGGACUGAGACACGGCCCAGACUCCUACGGGAGGCAGCAGUAGGGAAUCUUCCACCAUGGACCAAAGUCUGAUGGAGCAACGCCGCGUGAACGAUGAAGGCCUUCGGGUCGUAAAGUUCUGUUGUAAGGGAAGAACAAGUGCCGCAGGCAAUGGCGGCACCUUGACGGUACCUUGCGAGAAAGCCACGGCUAACUACGUGCCAGCAGCCGCGGUAAUACCUAGGUGGCAAGCGUUGUCCGGAAUUAUUGGGCGUAAAGCGCGCCCAGGCGGCCUCUUAAGUCUGAUGUGAAAGCCCCCGGCUCAACCGGGGAGGGCCAUUGGAAACUGGGAGGCUUGAGUAUAUGAGAGAACAUUGGAAUUUCACGCGUUUCCGGUGAAAUUGCUUACAGAAGUGGAGGAACACACCUUGGCCGAAAGCGAAUCUCUGGCUCUAUAACUGACUCUCCAUGCCCCAAACGCCGUGGAAGCAAAUAGGAAUUAUAUUCCCCCGGAUAGCCCACGCCCCCAACCAUUAAUUGCUUAAGCGUUUAGA
rnacentral:rRNA from 1 species